rnacentral:lncRNA from 1 species
CAGAAGCUUUCUAGAUCUGGCUGCAAAAUGAACAACACAGUCUCUGUUAUAAAGAAAACCACAGCUUGAAAAAAAUAGUACGGACACAGCUGAUUCACCAGGGUGACUCAUACCUGGGAUCACGGCGCCUCGACUCGGCUUCCCAUGGCCUGUCGUGGCUUGCGAAGGACCAUGGCAACUUGAACAGACAGAACUUUCCCCUUGAAUGCUGGGGACGGAUCCACCCGGCUGGGUACAGGAUGGAGAAUCUUCUCCCACUUCCCCUACGGGAAAGGACAAUGUAGUCUCUGCACAUGAACCCACUGCUCCUUCUUGGACCCUGGGGUACAUUCCAAAGGGGUGUUGACAUCUCACCGCAGAGACUUGGAGUGUAAGAAGAGCAAAUUGCUCACAGGCCUCUAUGCCAGCAGAGCUCUCUGGAAGCCACUGGAUCUUGUCUGGAAUCCCUUCUAAUUAGGUACAAUAAAACGGAUCGCAUACAUGUUCAUAGCAGCAUUAUUCCCAAUAGCCAAAAGGUGGAAGCAACCCAAAUGGUGAAUGGAUAAACACAUUCAUGUUAUGGCCCAUGAUGGAAUAUCACUCAGUUGUAAAAAGGAAUGAUGUCCUGAUUAAUGCUGCCACAUGGAAUAACCUUGAAAACAUGCUAGGAGGUGAAACAAGCCAGACACAAAAGCCACAUUUUGUAGGAUUCAAUUUCAUUAUUGGUUGAUUUGAGAAUCAAUGUUUUUAUGUAUUCUCGCAUUGCCCAAUUCCAAAAAGGGUUUGGAGCAGCUUACAAACAUGCCCACGCAAAGGGAGCCACAAAAUAAUGGCAAACUGACAAUGGAACGGAGGGUGAAGGAAGAAAUGGUGAAUAUUAGACUUGUGGUGCACAACCCAACAACGUGCAACGUUCACUUAUCAACCAGGCAGGUUUACUUAGGACAGAAGAAAAACCUGAUGUGGCUACACCAUUCUGUCUGAUUCCAUUUACAUGGAAUGCCAGAAUAGGCAAAUUCAUAGAGGGAGAAAGUAAAUUCGUGGUUCCAGCGGCUGAGAGAAGGGGUUCAUGAGGAGUUACUACUUAAUGGGAACAGGAUAUCCUUUUGGGGUGUGAUGAAGAUUCUCUGAAAUUAGAAGAUGGUGAUGGUUGCACAACCUUGUGAAUAUGCUUAAACCAUUGAAUUGUACAUUUUAAAUGGGUGAAUUUAAGGUUAUGUGAAUUGUAUCUCUAUAAAAAUAUUGGGUUACAUUAUAAAAUUGGAAAAAAAAAGAAAGAUCGAUGACCUCUUUACUUCUAUGUUUUCCCUUAGAAAUGGAAACCAGAUAUAUGUUUCAAUAUUGAUUUGGUGAUGCUUGGUUUCUUUAAAGGAGAAAAAAUUUCUGUGGAUAAGUGAUAAGGUGGCUUGAGAGGCUGUCCACGGACCCAGCAGUAUGGGGGGAGGAAUCCCCCUGUGGAGACAGCACAGGUGAUUGUCCAGGCCUGAGAAAGGCAAGGCUCUUGUAGAGCUCGCAAAGCUCAGUGUAAGAAAAUAAAUGGGAGCAGGCACACAUUACCCUUGGAGCCAGACAACCUGGGUUCACAUCCUGGCCACGCCACUAAGAGCUGUGUGACCUUAAGCAGAUUGCCUAAACUCUCUGUGCUUAAAUGACCUCAUCGACAAGAUGAGGAAACUAAUAGUACCUACCUUGAUGCAUGCUUUUGGGGGAUUCAAUGAUGAAUUGUCAUCUGUAAAGAGACCCAGAGUUCUGUAAACUGCUAUGUGUAUUUUUAUCAAAGAAAAUAAUCUAGUAA